rnacentral:rRNA from 1 species
UACAGAGGUCCCAAGCGUUGUUCGGAUUCAUUGGGCGUAAAGGGCUAGUAGGCGGCUUAGCAAGUCGGGUGUGAAAUUUCCAGGCUUAACCUGGAACCGCCAUCCGAUACUGCUAUGGCUAGAGUCCGGUAGGGGACCACGGAAUACCUGGUGUAGCGGUGAAAUGCGCAGAUAUCAGGUGGAACACCGAUGGCGAAGGCAGUGGUCUGGGCCGGCACUGACGCUGAAUAGCGAAAGCGUGGGUAGCGAACAGG